rnacentral:rRNA from 1 species
ACCGUUCCCUACUUCCUUGUUUGGCCAGCCCGGUCCAGAACCGACUCCCCUGGAGACGUCCAAGUACUAAGAUUGGGGGCCCCACCGGGACUCGGUAUUGCUACCCGGCACUCCCGGAUGGCAGGGAAUAAUACCGGUGAGAUUUUCUACUAAAGGAGGUCAUUGCGUCGUCAGUCGUCUUGAGCAUCUUGUAAGUAGGCACCAACGAGCCCACGCCAACAGUUCCAGCACGACCUCCGGGUCGGUGGGACACUGUUGGCCGCCUCUGCUAAGAGGGAAGAAUGGGAACGGAGGUCAGCAUGCCCCGAUUAUCCGGGCUACACGCGGGCUACAAUGGGCAGGACAAUGGGCCCUACACCAAAGGUGGAAGGUAAUCUCUUAAACCUGUUCUAAGUUCGAUUGUGGGCUGAACUCGCCCACAUGAAAGCUGAAUCCGUAGUAAUCGCGUUUCAAAAUAGCGCGGAAAUACGUCCCUGCUCCUUGCACACACCGCCCGUCAAACCACCCGAGUGACGGUUUGGAUGAAGGCCAUCGGUCGUUGCCGUGGUCGAAUCUAGGUUUCGCAAGGGGGGUAAGUCGUACAUCAAGGUAAGCAAGAAUCCCCAGGCCAUGGCCAACGGGACGCAUUGUGCAUGGCUCCAGAACACGCAUGCCU